CUCUCUCUUAAUAAAUAAACGUGAAAAAAAUAUUUUAAAAAUAAAAAGUUUGAGGCCAACUUAAAAGUAUCUUGUAAGUUGAAACAAACAAACAAAAAACCCUCCAAUUUUCUGGAUGAGUGAAAAGAAUCCUCGACUCGUAAACACUGGCUUUUAGCAUCGGGCGGGUGGUCCUGUAAUGACCCGGCCGGAGCUCCAGGCUUCGUGGGCUCAUCUGUGUCCUUCCCCCCACACGCUUCACCACUGAGGAGCCUUGCAAGGCAGACAAGCUUUCCGAGGUUCCCACCCAGGGGAUUCCUUGUGUGG